UACGUAGGGACCAAGCGUUGUUCGGAUUUACUGGGCGUAAAGGGCGCGUAGGCGGCGUGACAAGUCACUUGUGAAAUCUCCGGGCUUAACCCGGAACGGCCAAGUGAUACUGUCGUGCUAGAGUGCAGAAGGGGCAAUCGGAAUUCUUGGUGUAGCGGUGAAAUGCGUAGAUAUCAAGAGGACCACCUGAGGUGAAGACGGGUUGCUGGGCUGACACUGACGCUGACAGCGCGAAAGCUAGGGGAGCAAACGGG
rnacentral:rRNA from 1 species